GGAUUUCUAAGGGCAUCACUUGAUGCUUCUGUAUCCAGUGUCUUCCCCUCAGCUACUUCUCCAAGUACUGGUUGCAUUUAUAUCAAUUUGGCUUUGUUUUAUGAAUUAUGUUCAAAGAUUUACAUGAAUUCAAAGUCGGAUAUGUAAAAGUAGGUAUAUCUUGGAGUUCUGUGUUCCAUGUCUGUCCUUUAAUUCUGUGG
rnacentral:lncRNA from 1 species